rnacentral:rRNA from 1 species
UACGAAGGGGGCUAGCGUUGUUCGGAAUCACUGGGCGUAAAGCGCGCGUAGGCGGUUUGUUAAGUCAGAGGUGAAAUCCCAGAGCUCAACUUUGGAAUUGCCUUUGAAACUGAUAGACUUGAGUUCGGUAGAGGGUGGUGGAAUUCCUAGUGUAGAGGUGAAAUUCGUAGAUAUUAGGAGGAACACCAGUGGCGAAGGCGGCCACCUGGGCCGACACUGACGCUGAGGCGCGAAAGCGUGGGGAUCAAACAGG